CUCUGCUCUCUUCUCUUUUCCCGGCUGUCCUCGGGGCUGGCGGAGCACGGGCCUCCCCAGGCACGGGGCCUCCGUGUUGCUGCACUCCCAUCUCCUUCCGAGGGUUGAGGCCAGGUGGCCAGAAAUGGGAGGCGCCGGACUUGCUACUGCCGAUGUGGAAACAGGGGCAGCUGCGGCCCAGGGUGCCUCUGGGCUGGGCACCCCGACCCUGCGCGGAGGGGCCUAAGGAGGCCUGCCAUCCCGGGCCCCAGACCUGGGUGGUGGAUGGCCUGAGCUCAGCUAUUGCAAGAAGCAGAGGGGAGAUGACUUUGCUUCUUGUUGAGUUUGCUGACAGCGCCUGACCUCUGGAGGAAGAGUUGCUUUGCACGGAGGCCAAGGCAUGAGCUCCCUGGGAACUGACCAGUCCACUGACUGAGUUCCGGCACCCUCUUGGUCUAGGAGGUUCUGGGACACCCAUCUUGCCCACAGAGCCCCUAAACCUCAAGGCCUGCACAACACAGAAAGCACAAGGACUGGUUCCAGCCAGAAAGGCCUUGGGGCUCCCAAGACCCUGAGGCCCAGACUUGGGGGCCAUCAGGUCAGGCUAGCCCCCACUGUCCUGUCCCCUGCCUCGGUGCCCUGGGCCAGCCCAAGUGCUGAGUUGGCGGCUCAGCAGCUGCUUCUGCCCGCGGAGGCCCAGUUAUAAAUAAGCCCAAUAUGGCCAAGUCAUCAAGUUCUGUCCCAGCUGCAUUACCUCAGUGACCACAGGUCGGGGCUGCCCAGUGCUGGGCCCACCAACCCUGCCCACCCAGGCGAAAAGCCAGGCCAGCCUCCCUGACUCCUGGGGUCCUCAAAUCCAGGGUUUGAGCAUCUACAGCUACUCAGACCUGGGCCUCCCUGGACACAGGCCACAGAAGGGGCAGGGCCCAUCCCGCCUGCACGGAGCCAGCAGCUAUUUACAAACCGAAACCGGGAGAAGUGAAGUGGCUGUGGCAACGUGGCUCCAGGCCCCCAGCCCCCACUCCCACUCCAUCCCCAGCAGCCCCACCCCCCUCCCCCCAUGGCUUCCUCUUUCCUUCUCCACGCAGCUCCCCAGCCUCCCGCUGCCCGGCCAGCUCUGUCUGGACAACCUGCAAACACCUCACGGUGACCCCCAGCCCCACAGUCACUGGCCAGCGGGCCCCCUUCUCCCCUUCACCCCCCAGGACCCCGUUGUCGGUCUGGCCUCCUCGGAGCAGCCGCUCCCACCCGGACCCAGCCCACUCGGGCCUGCCCGAGGCACAUUCCCACACUUCUCAGUUCCCCUUCGCGCUUGGAAAAGCUCCAGCGCCAAUGGCCGCCACCGUGGUACCCGUCCCUCCUGAGGAUGGCUUCUCCGGGCACCCUUACCCUCCACGGGAGCCAAGGAGUCUGGGCCCUUCGGGGACACUCUGGGCACCUGGGGACCUCAGAGGGCAUGUUUCUGGACCGAGGACCCAGCCACUACUCUCCUUGAGGCGAGCUUCCACUCACGCCCUGGGCUGGUGUGGGGCAUAGGCCGUCAUGCGGUGCCGAGCGAACUGGGACAGACGGACACCGGGCCUGAGGCCACAGCACAGCCUGCUUGGGAACCGGCAGGCUGGAGGGCCCUGCAGCAGGAGCCUGCUCCCAGGACAGAUGACAGGCGACGCAGCACUCAUUGCUAAUAACAGCCUCCCUCACAUUGGGGCAGAGGCUCACAGUUUACCUCAGUGUCUGUUCUUUCUGUCCCCAGAAACAAGCCUAUUCCAAGGCCUCCAGCAUUAAGUGGAAAGCAAGGCUCAGAGGGGAAGCCACACGUGCGAGGCGACAUAGCUAGAGCGUGUCUGGAUUGAGAUUCGAGACUCAUCCCCUUGUCACCCUGACUGCCUCUCGUUCCAUCUCAUAGCCCAUAGCCCAGUCUCCCUGGUGGCAGGACAGACGUCUCCCAGCACUGUGACAAGGGCAGGAGCAGGGCCGGGCUGAUGCUUGAGAGAGAAGCAGGCUUUGGAGGGCACGGUUGUCAGAUGGCCACCCACGGCCGGGCUUCUGAGGGAAGAACGCCUGCCCCGUUUCUUCUCUCCCACGAAGCCCCAGCUGAGGCCAAAGUGCUGGCCUGAGCCCCACUCAGCCAAAGCCAGCUGGCUGACUGCGUUUCUCCCAACCUCUCUGGGCCUCAGGGUCCCCUUCUGUGGAACUGUCAUCUCACAAACAGCAAGUGCCUCCUAGGUGCCGGCUCUGUGCUGGGGGCAAGCCGCCUCUAGAGCCAGGACGCGGCCCCUGGCCACCGGCCUGUGGAGAGGGCCGAUGAGUUACAGAAUUCUGAGAGCUCCCAGAAGGAAACUGAGGCCUCCAGACAUGAAAAGGAAGAGAUGUUGCUUCCUAGGGUGGGGAAGCCUAUCACUCGGGAUGGGUCCUAAAGGACAGGAAAGAGUUCCCCAGAAAAAGCCUGGGGGAUAGACUCUCGUGCUGAGUCACACCCCUAUGCUUUGGUGCCAGCAGUUCUGAUGGCCUGAGGGCCCUCCCUUCCUCUGGGCCUGGCGAACUCCUACCCAUCCCUCAGGGCCCAUGGGCACACCAUAGAAUGGCCAGGCCUGGCCCUCACCUUCCUUUUCCCACCCAGGGCCUAAGCAGAGCCUGAGGCCAGGCGUCUUUGGUCACAACACCCUCGCCAGCCCCACCCAGGCAGGCGUCUGCUCCCGGGCUCCAGCCCCCGCCGUCCCCUGCUCCGAAAAGCACCAUUUCCCUUUUCUGGGUGACCACACGCCAUGCAUAGGGAAUUUCCAUCUCAGCCUGCGGAGCCUCUGAUUCACUCAGACCCCUCAUGCAGUUAACUCCUUCCAGGCCCCAUGCCUUCUGCUCCACACCCUGGGCUGCCCACACCCCCACCCGAGACCCCUGGGCAGCCUCAAAUCAGCCUUGGGUCUCACACCUUGG